UAUGGCCAUAUUACAUUGAAACAUUGGUUCCUGUAUGAUCAUCAAAGUUAAGCAGCAUCGAGCCUGGCCAGUACCAAGAUGGGUGACUGUUUGGGAAUACCAGAUACUGUAAG